rnacentral:lncRNA from 1 species
CCCGCACAAAGGUAUUAUGUUCUGAACACAUUACAAUAAAGUGUUUACUGUUUGAAUUUGAAAUUCAAAUUUAAAUGAAUGCAUGCUAUAUAUUAUAUUUAGAUCCUAGUGUAGGAUAAAUUCAUGUUAAUUAAUUAGAUUAAUUAAUAUUUUUCUACUGUAAAAUCAUAAUUUUGAAAAAGUUUUAAAAUUAUCAUUUUACCCCUG